UCUCCCCCCUCCAGUCAGUGAAACUGAUCUCUCCGUGAAGAAGCGGAGAUACGCAUAUAAGACGAGAAGACCCCAUGGAGCUUUAAACCCAACAACACCCGCCUCCCUUAAACCCUAUUAUCAGCCCGGCGAUUGUUUGCUUGGUUUUAGGUUGGGGUGACCACGGAGUACAAAACAUCCUCCAUGAAAAAAAGCUAACUGCCCUUAUUAGAGAAAGACAUUUCCAAAAAAUAACAAAUUAAUUUUUAAUGACCCGAUAUUCGAUCAACGAACCAAGUUACCCUGGGGAUAACAGCGCAAUCCGCCCCGAGAGCCCCUAUCGACAGGCGGGUUUACGAC
rnacentral:rRNA from 1 species